AUUGAACGCUGGCGGCAGGCCUAACACAUGCAAGUCGAGCGGAGCGGCGGUCGGGUGAGUAAUGCCCAGGAAUCUGCCCGGUCGUGCGGGAUAACGUCCGGAAACGGGCGCUAAUACCCCACCCUCUUAGAUUAGCAUAGGGUGGAUUAGCUAGUUGGUGGGGUAAAGGCAUACCAAGGCGACGAUCCGUAACUGGUCUGAGAGGAUGAUCAGUCACACUGGAACUGAGACACGGUCCAGACUCCUACGGGAGGCAGCAGUGGGGAAUAUUGGACAAUGGGCGAAAGCCUGAUCCAGACAUGCCGCGUGUGUGAAGAAGGUCUUCGGAUUGUAAAGCACUUUAAGUUGGGAGGCGUUACCAACAGAAUAAGCACCGGCUAACUUCGUGCCAGCAGCCGCGGUAAUUC
rnacentral:rRNA from 1 species